rnacentral:rRNA from 1 species
UUCUGGCUCAGGAUGAACGCUAGCGGCAGGCUUAACGCAUGCAAGUCGAGGGGCAACGCGAGUAGCAAUACUUGGCGGCGACCGGCGCAAGGGUGCGUAACGCGUGAGCAACAUGCCCGUAUCAGGGGGAUAAUCCAGGGAAACUUGGUCUAAUACCCCAUAGUAAUUUUGUAAGGCAUCUUAUAAGAUUUAAAGCUUUGGUGGAUACGGAUUGGCUCGCGUGACAUUAGCUGGAUGGUAAGGUAACGGCUUACCAUGGCUAUGAUGUCUAGGGGUUCUGAGAGGAAGGUCCCCCACACUGGAACUGAGACACGGUCCAGACUCCUACGGGAGGCAGCAGUGAGGAAUAUUGGACAAUGGAUGGAAAUCUGAUCCAGCCAUGCCGCGUGAAGGAAGAAGGUCCUAUGGAUUGUAAACUUCUUUUGUAUGGGAGCAAUAAGGCCUACGAGUAGGUUGAUGAGAGUACCAUACGAAUAAGCACCGGCUAACUCCGUGCCAGCCGCCGC